rnacentral:rRNA from 1 species
AGUGAACGCUGGCGGCAGGCCUAACACAUGCAAGUCGAGCGGCAGCGGGUCCUUCGGGAUGCCGGCGAGCGGCGGACGGGUGAGGAAUGCAUCGGAAUCUGCCCUGUCGUGGGGGAUAACCUAGGGAAACUUAGGCUAAUACCGCAUACGACCCACGGGUGAAAGCGGGGGAUCGCAAGACCUCGCGCGAUAGGAUGAGCCGAUGUCCGAUUAGCUAGUUGGCGGGGUAAAGGCCCACCAAGGCGACGAUCGGUAGCUGGUCUGAGAGGAUGAUCAGCCACACUGGAACUGGGACACGGCCCAGACUCCUACGGGAGGCAGCAGGGGGAAAUAUUGAAAAUGGGCGGAAGCCCUGUCCCACCCAGCCCCGGUGGGGAAGAAGGGCCUCCGGGUGGAAAGGCCCUUUGGUCGGGGAAGAAAUCGUCUGGGCUAAUACCCCGGGCGGAUGACGGUACCGGAAGAAUAAGCACCGGCUAACUUCGUG